UACGUAGGCAGCGAGCGUUGUUCGGAGUUACUGGGCGUAAAGAGUGCGUAGGCGGUUUUCUAAGUUUGGUGUGAAAUCUCCCGGCUUAACUGGGAGGGUGCGCCGAAGACUGGAAGGCUAGAGUAUGGGAGAGGUAAGCGGAAUUCCUGGUGUAGCGGUGAAAUGCGUAGAUAUCUGGAGGAACACCGGUGGCGAAGGCGGCAUCCUGGACCGGUAUUGACGCUGAGGCGCGAAAGCUAGGGGAGCAAACGGG
rnacentral:rRNA from 1 species